CCUACGGGAGUGCAGCAGUGAGGAAUAUUGGUCAAUGGGCGCGAGCCUGAACCAGCCAAGUCGCGUGAGGGAGGACGGCCCUACGGGUUGUAAACCUCUUUUGCCGGGGAGCAACGGGCGUCACGUGUGGCGCCACUGAGAGUACCCGGAGAAAAAGCAUCGGCUAACUCCGUGCCAGCAGCAGCGGUAAUACGGAGGAUGCGAGCGUAUCCGGAUUUAUUGGGUUAAAAGGGUGCGUAGGCGGCUCGUUAAGUCAGUGGUCAAAUUGAGGGGCUCAACCCCGUCCCGCCAUUGAGACUGGCGCGCUUGAGUGGAAGAGAGGUAUGCGGAAUGCGUGGUGUAGCGGUGAAAUGCGUAGAUAUCACGCAGAACCCCGAUUGCGAAGGCAGCAUGCCGGCUUCCGACUGACGCUGAAGCACGAAAGCGUGGGGAUCGAACAGGAUUAGAUACCCUUGUAGUC
rnacentral:rRNA from 1 species